rnacentral:rRNA from 1 species
ACUCCUACGGGAGGCAGCAGUGGGGAAUAUUGCACAAUGGGGGAAACCCUGAUGCAGCCAUGCCGCGUGUGUGAAGAAGGCCUUCGGUUGUAAAGCACUUUCAGUAGGGUAGGAAGGUAGUGUAGUUAACACCUGCCACUAUUUGACGUUACCUACAGAAGAAGCACCGGCUAACUCCGUGCCAGCAGCCGCGGUAAUACGGAGGUGCGAGCGUUAAAUCGGAAUUACUGGGCGUAAAGCGCAUGCAGGCGGCCUGUUAAGUCAGAUGUGAAAGCCCGGGGCUUAACCUCGGAAUUGCAUUUGAAACUGGCAGGCUAGAGUCUUGUAGAAGGGGUUAGAAUUUCAGGUGUAAGCGGUGAAAUGCGUAGAGAUCUGAAGGAAUA